GCGCCACUAGCUCAGCUGGUAGAGCAUCCGACUCUUAAUCGGCAGGUCCCCGGUUCAAAUCCGUGGUGGCGCACCA
rnacentral:tRNA from 1 species